rnacentral:rRNA from 1 species
GAUGAACGCUGGCGGCGUGCUUAACACAUGCAAGUCGAGCGAGAAGGUUUGAAAAGAGUCUGCUGAUGAAAUGGAAAAUGGAAAGCGGCGGACGGGGGAGUAACGCGUAGGCAACCGGCCCCAUACAAAGGGAUAGCAUUUGGAAACGAAUAUUAAUACCGUAUGAAACUUAACGAGUGCAUGCUAGGGAGGUCAAAGAUGCAUCGGUUGGUGAUGGGCCUGCGUCUGAGGAGCUAGCUGGUGGGGUAGCGGCUUACUAAGCCGGCGGUCGGUAGCCGGCCGGACAGGGUGACUGGCCACAUAGGUACUGAGUGAGGGCCCAGACUCCUUCGUGCGGCAGCAGGCAGUAAUAUUUAAUAAUGGACGGAAGCCUGAUUCAUGAAGCCCGCGUGCGUGAUCGAUGCCUGCGUUUGGUAAGCCGCUUUCGCUUGUAACGAAGCGUGAGUGACGGUAACCGGUAAAGAAGCACCGGCUAACUACGUG